AGAGUUUGAUCAUGGCUCAGGACGAACGCUGGCGGCGUGCUUAACACAUGCAAGUCGAGCGGGGUCCAACCUGUCGCAAGACAGGGGAAGGCCUAGCGGCGAACGGGUGAGUAACACGUGAGCAACCUGCCCCGAAGACUGGGAUAACACCGGGAAACCGGUGCUAAUACCGGAUACCCUCGAUGGGUCACAUGGCCCGACGAGGAAAUGGAUUCCGCUUCGGGAGGGGCUCGCGGCCUAUCAGCCUGUUGGUGGGGUAACGGCCCACCAAGGCUACGACGGGUAGCUGGUCUGAGAGGACGGCCAGCCACACUGGGACUGAGACACGGCCCAGACUCCUACGGGAGGCAGCAGUGGGGAAUCUUGCGCAAUGGGCGAAAGCCUGACGCAGCAACGCCGCGUGCGGGACGAAGGCCUUCGGGUUGUAAACCGCUUUCAGCAGGGACGAAAAUGACGGUACCUGCAGAAGAAGCCCCGGCCAACUACGUGCCAGCAGCCGCGGUAAUACGUAGGGGGCGAGCGUUGUCCGGAUUUAUUGGGCGUAAAGAGCUCGUAGGCGGUUUGGCAAGUCGGGUGUGAAAACUCUGGGCUCAACCCAGAGACGCCACUCGAUACUGCCAUGACUCGAGUCCGGUAGGGGAGUGCGGAAUUCCUGGUGUAGCGGUGAAAUGCGCAGAUAUCAGGAGGAACACCGGUGGCGAAGGCGGCACUCUGGGCCGGUACUGACGCUGAGGAGCGAAAGCGUGGGGAGCGAACAGGAUUAGAUACCCUGGUAGUCC
rnacentral:rRNA from 1 species